rnacentral:rRNA from 1 species
UACGUAGGGAGCAAGGCGUUGUCCGGAAUUCAUUGGGCGUAAAGCGCGCGUAGGUGGCCCUGUAAGUCCGUUGUGAAAGUACAAAGGCUCAACCUUUGAAAGCCGAUGGAUACUGCAAGGGCUAGAGUACGGAAGAGGCGAGUGGAAUUCCUGGUGUAGCGGUGGAAUUCGUAGAGUAUUAGGAAGAACACCAGUGGCGUAAGGCGGAGCUUGAC